rnacentral:rRNA from 1 species
GAUGAACGCUAGCGGCAGGCCUAAUACAUGCAAGUCGAACGGUGGCAGCAAUGUCAUAGUGGCGCACGGGUGCGUAACACGUAACUAACCUACCUAUAACUGGGGGAUAGCCCGCCGAAAGGCGGAUUAAUACCGCAUAAGCUGUUUGAGUGGCAUCACUCGAUUAGUAAAGAUUUAUUGGUUAUAGAUGGGGUUGCGGGUCAUUAGCUAGUUGGUAAGGUAACGGCUUACCAAGGCGACGAUGACUAGGGGAGCUGAGAGGCUGGUCCCCCACACGGGCACUGAGAUACGGGCCCGACUCCUACGGGAGGCAGCAGUAGGGAAUAUUGGGCAAUGGGCGAGAGCCUGACCCAGCCAUGCCGCGUGCAGGAAGAAGGCUUUCUGAGUCGUAAACUGCUUUUGACAGGGAAGAAUAAGCACUACGU